UUAGGAACGAAUAUUUACGAAAAAGCAAACAAUUAAUUAAGAAGCCAUAGCCCAUAAGUGGAAUUAAUAAGAAAAUUUCAAGAACAGGGCAGGUUUCAUUUUAAAAUUUUAGGGAAUUCGGAUUUCAAGUAGUCCAAAAUGCAUGGUCAAUAUAUCCGAUAGAAAUGAGUUGAAUUUGUAUAACAGGGAGAUCGAGUUGUUAUUGUAUAUAUAAUCCUCGUACAAAAUCAUUCAGCUAGUAUGUAUAUAUGCUCUAUAUGUUCAAUUAAUUAAUAUUGGUCUAACAAAAAGGAGGCAGAAAGAAUAUGAAUGAUCAUAGUAACUUCCAUGGAUGACAUUGGAGGUGAGAGCAAGGCUCAACCCAUGUUGUUUUGCACUUUCCCCCGGCGCCAUCACAACACUUGCAAACCAUUCCCAAACUUCCCAAAAACUUCGAGGAACUGAAAGAAGAAGAAGAAGACAGUGGCCUGGCUUCUGCGACAAUUGUUUGCUGAUUGGACGUUGAAAAGCCAAUAAUUAUCACCAAAAUCAGCACCUGUAAUUGACAAGAAGAAGUAGACGACUUAAAAAACUCCAUUUUUUCUCUGCUACUUGAGAGAGUAGUUUGUUGGAAACUGGAUUGAGUUUGUCUAUAUAUAUAUGUAUAUGUAUAAUAACUAUACAAUAUGAUUGACGUACGUAAGUGCAUGGAUAAAUACAUGUGAACACUUUAAAUAUUCUUCCAAGUAGAAGAUUAUGAAAUGUGGGUCAUGUAAUUUGUUUGUGUAUUAUGAUGGAAAAAUGAAGGGAAUAUAUAUAGAAUAAGAAAAGAACAACUCUCUGGCUCUUUCUAUUUGAAAUCUACUCCACAAAUAUACUGAAUAUAGGCUUCUAGAACACGGUAUACAACACGUUU
rnacentral:lncRNA from 1 species